AUGAAUAAAACUUGUGUGGACAUGUGCAUUAACACCAGUACAGCGCAAAGGAAAAGUUGCAUAAAGUGUGAGUUUUCCUUCUGGUCUGUUUUGGGUUAUUUUGCAUGUUUGCGUUCGCACCUGCCCGCACACGAGCGCCGUGCGAGGAGGCGACAGCUGCGGCGGCGAGGGGAGCAGCGACCCGCAGGACUGUCCCCGAGCCCCGCGUGCGGCGCCGGAUGCUCAAACGUUUCUGGCCGAAACGGGGCGCGAUUUUGGCCGGGACGUGAGGCCCCGGCAGGCAGAGGGCUGCGUCCGCCACGGGGUCGCGUUUGCGGGGGGCGACGCUCCGCACGUCGAAGAGGCCCCCAUCCCGGGCUCCCGCCGGGGGGAACCUGCGCCAGCUGCCGUGCGGGAGCCUGGGAGGGUCCAGGAGCCCGAGCAUCCCCCACCCCUGCCCGUGGGUGUCCGGCUGGAGGCUGCCGGCGGCCUGGGCACGGGCGGGCGGAGGCGGCGCUGCUCGGCGCUGCACCGGGAGUCACCCCAGCCGGCGACGGCGGCGUGUCCGCACGCUGUCCCGUCACGUCCCGGGAAAACCGGGAAGCGAGGACGGAGCCUGACGCGUUGCAGAGGAACGGUGGCAUCUGCUCGAGGGGAUCUCGCACCUCUAAUAAUCGCUGCAGCGUGUUCGGAUGCUUGGAGGAGCUGAUCGCUUCCCGGGAGGAGCGGAGCCAUCCGGAAGCAGCCGGCAGCGCAGCUGGCAGCGGAGGCCCUGCUCGUGCGAGGGCUGUGCAGGCGGCUCGGAGCGCGGAGCCCAAGCGCCGGCGGCACCGGGGACACCUGGGACGCCUGGGACGGCGGCAGCCCCAGCGCCGAGCCCCUCUCCUCGCCCGGCCGCGCGGGCGCAGGGCCGAUGGAGCAGGCGGCGCAGCAAAGCGGGGUCGGGGUGGUCGGGGAUGGCCGUGCCGAGGCCCCUUGCGGGUACUUCUCCUGCCCCGUCCCCACGCAGCCAGCGAGCAGGUACCAGCCCGCGGCCUCGCUGCCGCGGUCCCGUCUUCCUUAGCGUGA
rnacentral:lncRNA from 1 species